UAGGGAAUCUUCGGCAAUGGACGAAAGUCUGACCGAGCAACGCCGCGUGAGUGAAGAAGGUUUUCGGAUCGUAAAACUCUGUUGGUAGAGAAGAACGUUGGUGAGAGUGGGAAGCUCAUCAAGUGACGGUAACUACCCAGAAAGGGACGGCUAACUACGUGUCAG
rnacentral:rRNA from 1 species